CAGCCGCCGCGGGAAUACGAAGGGGGCUAGCGUUGUUCGGAAUUACUGGGCGUAAAGCGCACGUAGGCGGAUAUUUAAGUCAGGGGUGAAAUCCCAGAGCUCGACUCUGGAACUGCCUUUGAUACUGGGUAUCUUGAGUAUGGAGGAGGUGAGUGGAAUUCCGAGUGUAGAGGUGAAAUUCGUAGAUAUUCGGAGGAACACCAGUGGCGAAGGCGGCUCACUGGUCCAUUACUGACGCUGAGGUGCGAAAGCGUGGGGAGCAAACAGGAUUAGAUACCCCCGUAGUCCCUGUCUCUUAUAC
rnacentral:rRNA from 1 species